rnacentral:rRNA from 1 species
GUGGGGAAAUUGCGGCUUUCUUUACACAUGCAAGUCGAACGAACCUUCGGGUUAGUGGCGGACGGGUGAGUAACGCGUGGGAAUCUGCCCUCAGGAGGGGGAUAACGGCUGGAAACGGCCGCUAAUACCCCAUAUGCCGAGAGGUGAAAUGAAUUUCGCCUGAGGAUGAGCCCGCGUCUGAUUAGCUAGUUGGUGAGGUAAGAGCUCACCAAGGCAUCGAUCAGUAGCUGGUCUGAGAGGAUGAUCAGCCACACUGGGACUGAGACACGGCCCAGACUCCUACGGGAGGCAGCAGUGGGGAAUUUUCCGCAAUGGGCGAAAGCCUGACGGAGCAACGCCGCGUGAGGGAUGAAGGCCUCUGGGCUGUAAACCUCUUUUCUCAAGGAAGAAGAUCUGACGGUACUUGAGGAAUAAGCCACGGCUAAUUCCGUGCCAGCAGCCGCGGUAAUACGGGAGUGGCAAGCGUUAUCCGGAAUUAUUGGGCGUAAAGCGUCCGCAGGCGGCCCUUCAAGUCUGCUGUUAAAACGUGGAGCUUAACUCCAUCAUGGCAGUGGAAACUGUUGGGCUUGAGUGUGGUAGGGGCAGAGGGAAUUCCCGGUGUAGCGGUGAAAUGCGUAGAUAUCGGGAAGAACACCAGUGGCGAAGGCGCUCUGCUGGGCCAUAACUGACGCUCAUGGACGAAAGCCAGGGGAGCGAAAGGGAUUAGAUACCCCUGUAGUCCUGGCCGUAAACGAUGGGUGCUAGACGUCGCGGGUAUUGACCCCUGCGGUGUCGAAGCUAACGCAUUAAGUGUUCCGCCUGGGGAGUACGCACGCAAGUGUGAAACUCAAAGGAAUUUGACGGGGGCCCGCACAAGCGGUGGAGUAUGUGGUUUAAUUCGAUGCAACGCGAAGAACCUUACCAGGGUUUGACAUCCUGCGAAUCUCCUGGAAACGGGAGAGUGCCUUAGGGAGCGCAGUGACAGGUGGUGCAUGGCUGUCGUCAGCUCGUGUCGUGAGAAUGUUGGGUUUAAGUCCCGCAAACGAGCCGCAACCCACGUCUUUAGUUGCCAGCA